UAUUAUCUUAGACCAUGACUCCGCAAAGCCAUAACGUGAAAGUUGCUCAGUCUGGUUAGAAGUGUUGGUAAGUGUCUGCUUUAAAACAUUUGGAUACUCUUACUUCUUCCGGUGCUGUUUCUCUCAAGGGAGAUAUGACGCAGGCCAAGGUAUGGACAUUGAAACAACAUUUCACUGGCUUUUUCUAAAGACCAGUGAUUUUCAGCUGAAGGAUGAAAGGCUUUUAUCUCCAAAAGAUGGAGAAGUAUUGGUUGAGGCUGUCUAUCUAAGUGUGGAUCCUUACAUGAGGUUUGUAAUGCUAUAUUCAGAUACAGCAUUGCAAUGUUUUUGUUUUUAAAUAUACAGUUAAGAA